AGAAGAAGAAGAAGCAGAGACAACAAGAAGAAGAAGAAACAGUCUCAUCUCGCCGGAGAAGAAGAAAGAUGUCGUGGCAAUCAUACGUCGAUGACCAUCUCAUGUGCGAGGUCGAAGGCAACCACCUCACACACGCCGCCAUCUUCGGCCAAGACGGCAGUGUCUGGGCUCAGAGCUCAGCUUUCCCUCAGGUUUUUCUUCCUUCUUCUUCGCGUUUCUUCCGAUCCUCUGUCUCAAAUAAGUUCAUCGAUCUGAUUCAAUCGUCUGAUUUAGGUUUAUUCCUUGUGAUCCGAUCUGAGGAAACUUGGAUCUGGUUUUGAUUUGCUAGCUUCUGACUUGUUCUCUCUGACAAUCUGAUUUUCUCAGUGAUUGAUUGGAGUUUGAUUCUGAGAUUUUCAUGGUUUCAGUAGUCAAAUCUUGUCUAUAGGUGUUUUGCUUGGCACAGAAUCUUAUCUCCUUUCAAUUCAUCAAAUGAUAAAACUUUUCACCAAAUUCUUCAAAAUUUGGUAUUUUACUUGAAUUUGAGAUCUUAGGGUCAUUGCAUAUGAAUUGUCACCUCUGCUCAGUAUUGUAUAAACCAUGUAAAGGAUCUGUUGUAUUGGUAGUAGUAUCAUUGCUCAGUCGGUUGAAGCUAAUUGCCUACUUUGUUGUUCUUGUUCAUGUAUUU
rnacentral:lncRNA from 1 species